rnacentral:rRNA from 1 species
UACGCAGGCGGAAAAUUAAGUCAGUGGUGAAAUCCUGCAGCUUAACUGUAGAACUGUCAUUGUUACUGGUUUUCUUGAAUAUAGUUGAGGUAGGCGGAAUGUGUAAUGUAGCGGUGAAAUGCUUAGAUAUUACACAGAACACCGAUUGCGAAGGCAGCUUACUAAGCUAUGAUUGACGCUGAGGUACGAAAGCGUGGGGAGCGAACAGGAUUAGAUACCCUGGUAGUCC